UACGAAGGGGGCUAGCGUUGUUCGGAAUCACUGGGCGUAAAGCGCACGCAGGCGGAUCGUUAAGUCAGGGGUGAAAUCCCGAGGCUCAACCUCGGAACUGCCUUUGAUACUGGCGAUCUUCGAGUCCGGGAGAGGUGAGUGGAACUCCGAGUGUAGAGGUGAAAUUCGUAGAUAUUCGCAAGAACACCAGUGGCGAAGGCGGCUCACUGGCCCGAUACUGACGCUGAGGUGCGAAAGCGUGGGGAGCAAACAGG
rnacentral:rRNA from 1 species